ACCGGAUUUGCGUGUUCCUAUGGAAACCAGGCAGGCCGGUGGCUGAGAGGGUGUUCUGCAAGUUAUUGCCUUCUUCAGAAGUUUUUCAGGUUGCUGAUUUUCUUAUAUUCCUUUGCAAAAUGGGUUCAGCUUUGUAAGGACCUUGUUUUUCUUGUCUCAAUGGGAAUGAAAGCCUUUAUGAAGGGAUCACUUGAGCGACCAGUUUUGCCCCGAAUUUUUACCUAGCUUUUGUGAAGAUUUCUGCGCUUUUGACAAGCAUUUUGUUAGAUUCACCUUUUCCCCUGUCCUCACUGUAUAGCUCAAGCAUGGUCAUAUUUUUCUGCAUACUGAAAGGUUUAAAUUUAUAUAGAGAACAUAUAAGCAAAACCAUGAUGUACCGUUGCUGCUGCUUAUGAAAAUGGCUGUUUUGAAUAAUGUGCAUGCAGAGAACCAAGGAGUGAGUCGGAAUUAAAUAACAUUAUUAAUAGUUAACACCUGGUAGUAUUGAGCUUUAUAAGGGGUCCAGUGCUGGGACAAACGCUUUACGUGAAUUAUCUCUAAAAUAUUCAAAUCUAAAGAGAUAGGAACUAUUAUUCUUAUUUUACAGAUUUGGAAACUAACUUUUGAGGAGCCAAGUGUCUUACCAAGAGUUGCCCAGCUGGAGCCCACCACUGCUACAGGACCCCAGGGCUGAAAAGACAACUAUGGGUAUAAAAAAAUAAAGGGAAAUGCUACACCUUUCUCUCACUUGAAUAAGUGGAUAAAGAGAACUUACUAUUGACAAAACUGUCAUUUUUUGAAAGCAUGUUGUUUACAAUCUUUAGUACUUGAGCUAUUAUUAUUAAUUCACCUCACAACAGAUUCCAACACAACCGAGUAUUUCAAUCCCAGUUCAAAGUGGAUCAUAAAGCAGCAGAGACAACUCAUACAUCAACAAAGCAUUUAGCCCAGGAAAUACUAACGAAUGUACAGUCCAGUGAUGGUGAAGUUCUGCAAAGGAAACAAGAGCUUUGAAGAUGAGGAGCAUAGAGGCUGGCCCUUGGAAGGUGACAAUCAUUGAGAGCCAUUAUCAAAGCUGAUUCCCUUAAACUACACGAGAUGUUGUGAAGAACUCAAUGUCAACGUUUAAGGUCAUUUGGCAUUUGAAGUAAAUUGGAAAGGUAAAAAAGCUUGGUAAGUGGGUGCCUCAUGACCUGAACACAAAUCAAAAAAAUUGUUGCUUUGAAGUGUCACCUUUUAUUCUACACAACAACAAUGAACCAUUUCUCAAUUGGAUUGUGACAUGAGGUGAAAAGUGGAUUGUAUACAACAACCAGUGAUGACCAGCUCAGCUGAGUGGUUGGAAUGAGAAGUUCCAAAGCACUUCCCAAAGCCAAACUUGCUGCCAAAGAAGGUCAUGGUAACUGUUUGGUGGUCUGCUGCUGGUCUGAUCCACUACAGCUUUCUGAAUGCUGGCAAAACCAUCAUAUCUGAGAAGUAUGCUCAGCAGAUGGAUGAGAUGCACUGAAAAUUUCAACACGUUGGUAAACAGAAAGGGCACAGUUCUUCAUGUCAACACCCAACUGCAUGUUGCGCAAUCAGCUCUUCAAAAGUUUAAUGAAUUGGGUUUCAAAGUUUUGCCUUAUCCACCAGAUUCUCAGGACUGUCCUGUCGCCAACCGACUACCACUUCUUCAAGCAUCUCAACAACUUUUUGCAGGGAAAAUGCUUCCAUAACCAGUCUUUUCAAAUGAGUCAGCUCUUCGCAUCAGGUGGCAAAAGUAUUGGAGUUUCAGCUUCCACACCUAUUUCCACCCUUCACCCUGGUAGGCAACCCUUUCUCUGAUGGCUCAGGACGACUGAAAGCCUCUGCGAAUGUAUAUGAGAGACCCGGACCCUGAGGUUUGAAAUGUAACAUGGAAGUAAACCUUGCCUCUGUUCAAGUUUCUCACCUAUCCGCGAUUAAUAGCUGAUUAUAUCUUUCACAGACUAUAGAAGAUUUUUUAGAGAGAGUUUGAUGGACAAAGAAUUCUGUGAGAGUGGUAAAUUUAAACAACGCUUUGCAUGUUUUCAAAGCAUUUCACUACUGAGAAUAUAUAGUCGUUAUUGUUAGUCUCUAAGUUGUGUCAGACUCUUUUCAGCCCCAUGGACUUCAGCAUGUGAUGAUUCUCUGUCCUUCACUAUCUCCCAGAGUUUGCUCAGAUUCAUGUCCAUUGAGUUGGUGAUACUAUUUAACCAUCUUAUCCUCUGCCAUCCUCUCUGUUACAUAGAUGAAAGUUGUUGUUUUUUCAACGACUAAAGACUUAAGUAAAGUAAUGCUCAAAAUUCUCAAGGCUAGGCUUCAGCAGUAUGUGAACUAUGAACUUCCAGAUGUUCAAGCUGGUUUUAGAAAAGGCAGAGAAACAAGAGAUCAAAUUGCCAACAUUUGCUGGAUCAUCGAACAAGCAAGAGAGUUCCAGAAAAACAUCUAUUUCUGCUUUAUUGACUAUGCCAAAGCCUUUGACUGUGUGGAUCACAACAAACUGUGGAAAAUCCUUCACAAGAUGGGAAUGCCAGAACACCUGACCUGCCUCUUG
ensembl:lncRNA